CGCAGGACGGCCGCGGCUUUGAGUCUGCGCGUCAGUGCCGCUGGCGUCUCCUUGGCUGUUGGAGGGCCAAAGAAUGUCAAUUUCAGAACUAAAAGGGAUCUUAGAAAACGGUAGAGCACUAACUUGUUUUUAUAUGGAAAAACUGAUCAGCUUGCCCAGGUGAGACACACGGAGGGGUUCCCCGUAAACCCUGCCAGUGCUCGCUCUUUCACUAUAUGCUGUUUCCAAAUACUGUAUGAAAGACGUUCUUGGUUAAAAGAAGUCCCUGUCACCAUGCCCGAAGUAAUGAAUCCUCUCCUAAAGGUCCAAGGAAAACCGUCCACUCGAACAUACUUGUUGAAAAACUGAAGACAGUACCUGAGCUACAAGUUGUAUUAAGAGACAUACAACCCUUAUAAAGACUAUGGAGAUAGCCGUAGGGCCUCUCCUGCUAGCCUUGCAUUUCGAUUUUAUUUUUUUAUCCUGAAAUUCUUAAAUUAUUUACUGCCUGAUCAUUUAAUGAAAUUGUUCCUACUAACCUUAACACCAAAGCGACAUGUUUUGUGGCACUUUUUUAAAAUCUUGAGUUUAUAUUUCAUAACAUGUAUGUUUCCUAAUACUUAGGACAACCUCUGAACUUCUUGUUAAUUUAUAAUGGGGCUAUUUCAGUUAUGCUGUUCUGUUAGUAUGAACCAUAGAAGAAAGAUAUUUUUAAGAGAGCUGGACUACAAAAUAAGAUGGAAUACGGGUCUUAUAUCCAAUAUUUGCUGAGAACUGGUGGAAUUAAAUGAUUAAAAUAUGUAUCCUGCCUUCAAAGAGCUUAUGGUUUUUUUAGAAGAAUAUUACAUACAUAUUAUUAGCUACUACAAGGCAGAGAGUGAUUAGAUACUAAAUAAUUCAGAAAAGAGAAAAAUGUAUUACCCUUGGGUUAUGGACGUUCUCCAGGGACAAUAUAUUCAUAUGUUCCUUAAUGCUGAGUUUCUGAAACUGAGCUUCUAGAUCUGGAGAUAAGAUCAGAGUUCUUUGAUAUUUGAAAAUUUGUGUUUUCAUUUUAAUGACUAUACCAGUUGUCAUAGAUAAAGACAAAAUUUUUCUUUAAAAGUUAUAAUUUGCAACUGAAAGAUUUUCAUGGAAUUGGUCUUCAGUUUUCUGUAUCCGUGCUUUUCAGACCGGUUCACAGACCCCUGCCUAUCCAAACGUGUAUUCUCUAGAAUGACAAGAAUUUCCUUUGCAUUACUCAGGUUUAAGAAACACUGCUUCAAAGGACUAGUAGGAUUUGGAUAUGUGAGUAAAGGAAGAGGAAGCUGCUGGUGAAAAAUUCCUUUUAAGACAUUGAAAAUAUAGUGAAGAAAGGAAGUUAGCAUUGCCAAUGGCUUCCUGGGGAACAGUGAAGUUCGGCUAGGCUGGAGCACUAGGAACGUGAGAAUAGAGUAAGAUCCUUCAGAAAGGUAAGUCAGAUCUAGACAGUAGAGGGCCUUUAUUCCAGACUUAAGAAUUUUUUCCCGUAUAAAUUAGUUUUUAGCUAGGGUUUUAAGUACAAAGCAGUGUUUGAAGGAAUCAAACUUGACUACUGAAUGACUACUAUCAUGCAUGAAUUAAGACCGACCUUAUUACAGUUAUUUGAAAUAAUUUCCAGUGGAGAUGAUAUGGCUCUUCCCUGACUCAGUGGAGUUGGCAGAUUGUCAUAAGUGGCGGUGUAUGGUAGAGACAGGGCUAGAUGCAAAAAGCCAGGGGAGCCAAGUCCAGUGAGCCAACCUGGAGUAUAUAACCAGAACCUGUGCUUAUUACGGCACCUGAGAUCAAAGGCCAGGUUUCCUGUUCAGAAGCCCGGAAAUACUCGGAAAUACUCGAAGGUAUCGCCCUGAGGCAGAAGAGGAGAGAAAUCAGGACAUACAAAGGCAGCAAAUCAAGAGGCAAUCAGAAACCAGGAAGAAUUGACGAGUGGUCCCUAGACAAAAUUGUGAAAUAGGCCAAGUUUAUUCUUAGUAACUCUGGUUGACAAUGAAGCUAUUGGUUGAUGAUGGCUUAAAGCAGUAUUUCUGGACCAGGAGAUGCAUAUCAGUAUUGCCUACAGAGUUUGAAAAAUAAUAGUAAAUGUACCAAGUCCUCAUAGCCAGAGGAAAGGGAUUCAGUAGAAUUGGGAUGGGCCCUGGUCAUCUCAUUUUAUAAAAACGCUCUUCAGGUGAAUCUUAGAAAUUUAUGUGAUUCAGAACUAUAUACUUAAAGUAUAAAACUAAUGUUUUAUAUCUGCAUCUAGUAGUACUCAAUAAAUAACUUUAAAAAUUCACAUAGCCUAAGAGAUACUGCAUUUCUUAAAAGAACUUCUAAAAUAAAUCUGCAAACUAAAGCAGAAGAAAACUAUAGAUGUGACACCACUAUAGAUAAUAGUGGAUUUGUAUCAUAUGCUUAUUUAAAUUGCUUGAAUUCAACCCUGUUUGACAAAAAGAAAACUAAAGAGGAUGAGAGAUUUCCACUGUUCUUCUGUGAGUUUAGGCCUCAGAAUACGCAUGAGAUGGAAAAUAAGAAUCUCCAUUCAAUCUCUGUUGAUUCUAGAAAGAUUCUGGUUAUAGGCAGGCUUAUUUUUCUGAAACAUGGCCCCUAAAUGCAGGCCAACUAUUUCAUCAGACUCAACUGAAAAAACAGCGAGCCCUUGCAAUGCUAGAGGGAAAAUGAGUUGAAGUAGUGUGGGCUAAACCCUGGGCUGCUGUGCAGUCCAGGGGAUUAGGGAAGAUUUUGCUGGAAGGACAUUGGUCAGAAGAGGUAUGUGGGAGAAAAUUUGCUCUUUGUUGCUGGAUUUAAAGGAGCUCUGCCUUAAUGCUAUGACUCCAAUCUAAAAGAGAAUGAAUAAGUUCUAUGAAAGCCUCUGAAGGAGUAGUGACUCUGGCUUAAACAAUAGCCUAAAUUGUGGAAAUGGGGCUAUUUUAACAAUUAAGAACUGAUGAAUUAGAUUCAUUUGUAGGAGCCAACCAGAGUCCUUUUAAAUUAUUUUAAACCAAUUAAGGAGGAUAAUACGGUUUAAAAAUAAUUAUGUGCCAAGGACUUGGCUUAUGGUAUCUGGAUGUGCCAUCUGAACAGAGUAAUCAGAUGAACCCAAUGUUCCUCAUGUGUAACCUAACAAAGUUUUUUUGGCUGUUUUACUAUUUCCUCAGCUCUCUGCUUUACUCUCUGAGAUCACAGUAGCCAAUGAUGCUGACAGGUUGCCAACAUUUAAAAAAAAAAAAAGGCAGCAUAAAAAUUUAGAUGUGAAAUUAUGUACCAGAAUGUAUUUGGAUAUAACAUAAAUAAAGAGAUUGAAUUUUGGUCAU